GAUGAACGCUGGCGGCGUGCCUAAUACAUGCAAGUCGAGCGAACAGACGAGGAGCUUGCUCCUCUGACGUUAGCGGCGGACGGGUGAGUAACACGUGGAUAACCUACCUAUAAGACUGGGAUAACUUCGGGAAACCGGAGCUAAUACCGGAUAAUAUAUUGAACCGCAUGGUUCAAUAGUGAAAGACGGUUUUGCUGUCACUUAUAGAUGGAUCCGCGCCGCAUUAGCUAGUUGGUAAGGUAACGGCUUACCAAGGCAACGAUGCGUAGCCGACCUGCGAGGGUGAUCAGCCGCACUGGAACUGAGACACGGUCCAGACUCCUACGGGAGGCAGCAGUAGGGAAUCUUACGCAAUGGGCGAAAGCCUGACGGAGCAACGCCGCGUGAGUGAUGAAGGUCUUCGGAUCGUAAAACUCUGUUAUUAGGGAAAAACAAAUGUGUAAGUAACUAUGCACGUCUUGACGGUACCUAAUCAGAAAGCCACGGCUAACUACGUG
rnacentral:rRNA from 1 species